GGCUCGGUGGUGGAUGGUCCACACUUGUGUUCUGUCUAUGAGUUUGUGAAGAUGGAAUAUUGAAGCAGGAGGAGCCUGUUCGAAUCAGGCCCGAGCCA